GAGUGUGCAGCUAUGUGGUCUUAGCUUUGCAAAAGCUAUUGAGAAACUUGAAGUUUCCACACUUU
rnacentral:tRNA from 2 species